GAAGAUGAAGAUUUGGGAAGUAGGAGAGAAAGAAUUUUCUCUCUCUCUACUGGGAAGUGUUCGAGCCCGGGUAUUUGACCGAUUCUUGUUUGACACCCCAUUUACCAAAAAUGGAAAGAAUCAAGGUGGAUUGGAAGAUCAAUGGAAGAGACGCACUGUUCUUCAGACUGAGGGUUCCUUUCCAGCUUUAGUAAAUAGACUAUUGGUAAUCAAAUCCGAGACCCUCGAAUUCUCUCCUGUAGAAAAUGCAUGGAUAUUUUUAAAAGACCCCAAAUUAUCACAUUUUUCUGAGACGUCAGAGCAAAUGCCUAUAUAUGCAAAAUUUACGAAUGAGC
rnacentral:lncRNA from 1 species